rnacentral:misc_RNA from 1 species
GAUUCUUGUUGAGAGCAGGAUUCAUCGACUUGCUCGCUACUAUAAGAAAACAAAGAAGCUUCCACCAGUCUGGAAGUACGAGUCUACCACCGCGAGUACUCUUGUGGCUUAGAGAAGGUCAUGGAUUGGGAUUACAAGUUUGUUGGUCAAGUCCCAUCUUCAUAAUUACAGACUUAAGUUGUUUUUGUAUGAGAGACCAGGUUGUUUGAAACUUUGAAUGGAACAAAUUUUGUUUUAUGAGAGAUGAUAAGGGGAACGUUUCCUACUUUAAAUUUGCAUCCAAUUCUCUAAUUACUAGUCGUGUAUAUAUAUAGCUGCUGUUAAUUUCGGUGGUUAUUAAAGUUUUGGAAAUGAGCUUAUUAAUUGUGCCACAUAAAACUAAUAGAUG